rnacentral:rRNA from 1 species
AAAGUACCUUCGGGUGCGAGUAAAGUGGCGGACGGGUGAGUAACGCGUGGGAAUCUGCCUAGUAGUGGGGGACAACAAUCGGAAACGGUUGCUAAUACCGCAUACGCCCUACGGGGGAAAGGCUUCGGCCGCUAUUAGAUGAGCCCGCGUAAGAUUAGCUUGUUGGUGGGGUAAUGGCCUACCAAGGCGACGAUCUUUAGCUGGUCUGAGAGGACGAUCAGCCACACUGGGACUGAGACACGGCCCAG